CAGUGUCUUGGAGGCCGGCCCGCACUGGCUCCCCCCGGGGAUCAGUGUGGCCUGCGCCCCCUCCACACGUGUCUACCACACUCUGUUGCCUUGGUGGGUCUGCCCUCGUGGCUGCCGGGGAUCGCCGCUGGCGUCCCGGGCCCGUACCCACCGAUGGAAUCCCUGAACCCUCUGUGAAUCUAGUAUGUCUGAGCAUGAAAUAGAAUAAACA
rnacentral:misc_RNA from 1 species